rnacentral:lncRNA from 1 species
CUUGGACUUGGAAGCAUUGGUGUUCAGGAAGGAUGUUUUCCGAGUUUCCUGCACACAGACUUGCUUGGCUGGUCUGCCUAAAUGGACCCAUUCCUGCCUUUUGAAGGGAAGCUUGAAGACAAGGCACCACAGGUGUCCUCUCCUGACAUCUAUGAAUUCAGCUGGCAGAAGCACUUCUUCCAGAGCCACACCCCUGAGAAAUCCUCCACUUUCCUGUGUUGUGUGGAAGAGGCCAGUUUUUACUCGGAACUGAAAUCUCAGCUCCUAUUAUUAG